CCUAAACUUUUGGGACAACCCAUAUAAAAGAUGUACAAACACAAGCUAACCUAUUAUACCAGGAUCAACAAAUAAUAUAUUUUGAGAGUAAUAAUGCUCAUCCUUUUGCCAACAGGCAAAAAAUUUACUUUGCUUAGCACUUUCCAGUUUACAAAAGAGAGAAUCCCAGAAUGAUAGAGUUGAAAGAACUUAAGAAUAACAAUUUCCUCUACAUCUAAUGUUUGUUUAAAGACCCUCAAUAAGAAAAGACCCAUUGCCUCUAAAAUUGGCCUAAUUGUAUUUCUGCUUAGUUCUAAUUGUUAAUAAAUUUUUCCUAGCAACAAAACCAUCUCUCUCUGUCUCUCUCUCUGUCUCUCUCUCUCUCUCUCUCUCUCUCUCUCUCUCUCUCUCUCUCUCUCUCUCUCUCUCUCUGUCUCUCUCUGUCUCUGUCUCUGUCUCUGUCUCUGUCUCUGUCUCUCUCUCUCUCUCUCUCUCUCUCUCUUUUGGUAACUUCCACCCACUAAGACCUUCUGUACCCAAGGAAAACAAAUCUAAUUCUUCUGACAUAUUAAAAGCCUUCAAACAAAUGGAGGAAAAAAACCAUUGUGUUCUACUUGAGAUUUUCUUUCAACAGAUUCUCAGAUGACAUGACCUCCAGGUCCCCUGCCAUCUUGGCUGUUCUCCUUUGGACUUUUUCCAGCUUAAAAAUGAAUUUUCUAAACUGUGGUGCCCAGAAAUGAACACCAUAUUCAAAAGAGGUCUGUUCAGGGCAAAAGACCUUAUUUCUGAGCAUUAUCUAUCUCUUAAUGGAGGCUAAAAUCAUAUUACCUUUCUUAGCCACCAUGUUACUUUGUUGACACAUAUUCAGCUUACAGUCAAUGAAAACCACUUAUCUUUUUCAGAUUAAUUUCUCUUCAGAAAUGCCCCCCAUAGGGGGCUGGAUUUUAACCCAUUUAAUACUUUAAUCAUUUAAACUUUUCUCCUAUUAUUUUCAUCUUGAGAGGCAGUGCAGACUUAAGUUGGAGUUCUACCUCUGAUACAUCAUAGCUCUGACUGGGCAAAUCACAGGCUUUCAGUGUUCAGUGCACCUCUCUGAGAUUGUAAAUUUCAGAGAAGAUAACAAUGUGAAGUGGCAAAGGGGAUUUCCUCACUUAAGUUUUUGAUCCUUAUGCCAAAACAAUCUCCUAAUUUCCUUUAUUCUGUCAAGAUAUUUUAGAAUCUGAUACUUCCUAGUCAUAUGAUGAUAUUCACUAUCAACUCUAAGACCAGAAGGUAAGGGUUUUUUCUUUAAAAAAUUUUUUAUUCAUAAAGAUAUUUAAUUUUUACCAAUUACGUGUAAUAAAUUUCUGCAAAAGUUUUCUGAAGUUAUAUGU
rnacentral:lncRNA from 1 species